GAUGAACGCUGGCGGCGUGCCUAAUACAUGCAAGUCGAGCGGUAAGGCCCUUCGGGGUACACGAGCGGCGGACGGGUGAGUAACGCGUAAGAAUCUACCCCAAACUGAGGGAUAACUGCUCGAACGAGUAGCUAAUACCGCAUAUGCUCUACGGAGUAAAGCUACGGCGGUUUGGGAAGAGCUUGCGUACGAUUAGCUAGUUGGUAAGGUAAUGGAUUGCCAAGGCGACGAUCGUUAGCUGGUCUGAUAGGAUGAUCAGCCACACUGGGACUGAGACACGGCCCAGACUCCUACGGGAGGAAGCAGUAGGGAAUUUUCCACAAUGGGGGCAACCCUGAUGGAGCAACGCCGCGUGCAGGAUGAAGGCCUUCGGGUUGUAAACUGCUUUUGUCUGUGACGAAUAUGACGGUAGCAGACGAAUAAGGAUCGGCUAACUACGUGCCAGCAGCCGCAGUAA
rnacentral:rRNA from 1 species